rnacentral:rRNA from 1 species
GACGGAGGAUGCAAGUGUUAUCCGGAAUCACUGGGCGUAAAGCGUCUGUAGGUUGUUUAAAAAGUCUGCAGUUAAAGGUUGAAGCUUAACUUCAAAAAUGCCGUAGAAACUUUUAAACUAGAGGAUGGUAGGGGUAGAGGGAAUUUCCAGUGGAGCGGUGAAAUGCGCAGAUAUCAGGAGGAACACCGGUGGCGAAGGCGGAUCUCUGGGCCGAUACUGACGCUGAGGAGCGAAAGCGUGGGGAGCGAAACAGG